AGAGGUAAUACAUGAUAGAUAAAAGACAGGAGGUAAUACAUGAUAGAUAAAAGACAAGAGGUAAUACACGAUAGAUAAAAGACAGGAGGUAAUACGUGAUAGAUAAAAGACAAUAGACAGGAGGUAAUACAUGAUAGACAAUAGACAGGAGGUAAUACGUGAUAGAUAAAAGACAAUAGACAGGAGAUAAUAUAUGAUAGAUACAAGACAAUAGACAGGAGUUAAUACAUGAUAAAAGACACUAGAUAGGAGUAAUAUAUGAUAGAUAAUACAUGAUUUGAUCCAGAAGCUGAGUGGGAUUCCAGUAUUACAGUGAAAGGGUGGAAGUGACAGAGUACUCUCCUCUCCUCCACUGCAAUGCUGUUUCCUGCCUCAGGUACUCUGUCUAUCCCAUCUCUCCACUUCUGUCUUUCAUAGUGGCUUCACUGACUGAUGGCUUUCUCUCGUGUGUGUAUGUGUGUGUGUGUGUGUGUGUGUGUGUGUGUGUGUGUGUGUGUAUAUUUUUAACAUGAUUUUUUAAAUAUUAUUUUUUUCAGGUUCAAUGGAAGAUGAGGGUCACAUCAAGUCAAACUCCUCCAGCUCAUCGUCUCUGCACAGACAUAUGGACAGACAUCACACCCAGAGGGGUCAUCUCAACUUCUCACCCUUCGGUGCAGGGGCUGCGCUCUAAGGCAGGGAGGCGCUGGGAGCACCCCUCACGUUUAGGGACGAGGUGAUCCAACAUCUGCGUGGGUGUGGAGGAAACGCGGGUGCUGACCUGGGGGAGGGGCGGGCCGACUGGAGGACCCAACGGGACACCAACGGAACACUACGAAACCCGGACACUACGCUGGUCUGGGCCAAUAGGAGGUCCUCUCUAUAGUGGGAGGAUGACCGACCGACCACCCCUCUCCUCUCCUCACACAUCCUCUCAUGUCUACACCCUGCCUCCUGCCCCUCCCUCCUGCCCAGGUCUGCCACCCCAUUGGGCAAAGGACAGGUCCAUCAGAGAGUGAGACAAUGCAUAAGAUAAGACAAUCCAACCGACAAGAGCAUUUACAAAGAAAGGAGGGAGAAAUGGAA
rnacentral:lncRNA from 1 species